UCAGGAUGAACGCUAGCGACAGGCCUAACACAUGCAAGUCGAGGGGCAGCGACAAGGAGCAAUCUGAGGUGGCGACCGGCGCACGGGUGAGUAACACGUAUGCAACCUGCCUGUAAGCGGGGAAUAACCCGUUGAAAGACGGACUAAUACCGCAUAAUACUAAAUUACUGCAUGGUAAUUUAUUUAAACAUUUAUGGCUUACAGAUGGGCAUGCGCAUGAUUAGCUAGUUGGAGAGGUAACGGCUCCCCAAGGCAACGAUCAUUAGGGGUUCUGAGAGGAAGGUCCCCCCACACUGGUACUGAGACACGGACCAGACUCCUACGGGAGGCAGCAGUGAGGAAUAUUGGUCAAUGGACGAGAGUCUGAACCAGCCAAGUCGCGUGCAGGAAGAAUUGUCCUAUGGAUUGUAAACUGCUUUUGCAGGGGAAUAAAGUGCAUCACGUGUGAUGUUUUGUAUGUACUCUGCGAAUAAGGAUCGGCUAACUCCGUGCCAGCCGCCGC
rnacentral:rRNA from 1 species